rnacentral:rRNA from 1 species
CGCAACCCUCACCUUUAGUUGCUACCAGGUUAUGCUGGGCACUCUAGAGGAACCGCCGGUGAUAAGCCGGAGGAAGCGGGAUGACGUCAAGUCCUCAUGGCCCUUACGGGCUGGGCUACACACGUACUACAAUGGUGGUGACAGUGGGAUGCGAAAGCGCGAGCUGGAGCGAAUCCCCAAAGCCAUCUCAGUUCGGAUUGCACUCUGCAACUCGAGUGCAUGAAGUUGGAAUCGCUAGUAAUCGUGGAUCAGAAUGCCACGGUCGAAUACGUUCCCGGGCCUU